rnacentral:rRNA from 1 species
GACGAACGCUGGCGGCGCGCUUCAAACAUGCAAGUCGAACGUGAAGCCCGGAGCUUGCUCUGGGUGGAAAGUGGCGAACGGGUGAGGAACACGUGAGGAACCUGCCCCGAAGACCGGGAUAACUCCGGGAAACCGGAGCUAAUACCGGAUGUCCUCACCGGACCGCAUGAUCCGGUGAGGAAAUGGAUUCCGCUUCGGGAUGGUCUCGCGCACUAUCAGCUUGUUGGUGAGGUAAUGGCUCACCAAGGCUA